GGUAGUUUAGCUUAAUCGGUCAAAGCAUCGUCACAUGUAAUGACGGGGAUGUGAGUUCGAGUUCACAGCUAGCC
rfam:Octopus bimaculoides Scaffold161572_contig_8, whole genome shotgun sequence.